rnacentral:tRNA from 1 species
GUUUUAAUAGUUUAAGAUAAAACAUUGGUCUUGUAAACCAAAAAUAAGAAAAAUCUUUUAAAACA